rnacentral:rRNA from 1 species
UACGUAGGGUGCAAGCGUUAAUCGGAAUUACUGGGCGUAAAGCGUGCGCAGGCGGUUUCGUAAGUCUGUCGUGAAAUCCCCGGGCUUAACCUGGGAAUGGCGAUGGAGACUGCGAGGCUAGAGUUUGGCAGAGGGGGGUAGAAUUCCACGUGUAGCAGUGAAAUGCGUAGAGAUGUGGAGGAACACCGAUGGCGAAGGCAGCCUCCUGGGUCAAAACUGACGCUCAUGCACGAAAGCGUGGGGAGCAAACAGG